rnacentral:lncRNA from 1 species
GUCAACAUGUGCUCUAAAUCUCUUUCAGUUCUGAAAUCGAAGGAGUUAUGGAUCAUAAUGGAGGAGCUUCAGAGGCCAUGUCCUCGCUUCAUGGUUAAGGACAGUAUACCGCCAAGACAAUGAGCACACAGGUGCUGAUGUCCACUCCCCCUUUCAGAAACUCCAGGACUUUGUCGAGGUUCCCUGCCCUGGCAGCACGCAGAAAGCUGGUGUUGCUGUCCGACUGCAAGGACAGAAGCAGAAGACAACGGGUUCCAGGAGACCCCCUACCCUGACCGGGUGUAGCCCAGGGUGGGGUGCUCAGCAGCUGAACACCACCAGGAAUGUCAUAGAACCAUUUUACUUCUUGAGGUUGAUGAAAUACGAGAAUCUUACAAAGUAGCAUAUUAAAGUAACAGUGAUG